AUUCAUAAUAGGCCCAUUCAUUCAUAAACAUGAAUUGAUGGGCCUCAUAAAAGCCCUUUAAAAUUUUAAGCCUAUGCAAAAAUUCGGGCCUUAUCUUAGCCCAAUGAAUAUUUGUGCCCAACAAGUUUCAUCAAAAUGGGCACAAUUUCAGUCCAAUUCAUGGGAUCACGGCCUAUAUUUUCACCCACGUUUAAAAAUUUAAUUUUGAAUUCAAAUUCGAUUUUAAAUUUUUAAACCCCCAACCAACUAGAAAAUAUCUGCUAUCCUAACAACCCUAUUCGAAAUUCGAUUCCGAAUUUCGAACCAACUCCCAAAAUAUCUCUCAACCAACAUCCACUCGAAUUUUGAAAACCUAUCCAUCCCACAACCUAUUCAAAAUUCAAUUUCGAAUUUCGAAUCCCCAAUCAACAUCCAUUUGAAUUUUGAAUACCUAACCACCCAACAACUCAUUCAAAAUUCGAUUUCGAAUUUCGAAUCCUCAACCAAUUCCCAAAAUAUCCUUCAACCAUCCAACAACCUAUUCAAAAUUCGAUUUCGAAUUUCGAAUUCCCAACAAACUCCCAAAAUAUCUUCCAACCAUCCAACAACCCAUUCAAAAUUCGAUUUCGAAUUUCGAAUUCCCAACCAACUCCCAAAAUAUCUUCCAACCACCCAUUCAAAAUUCAAUUUCGAAUUUUGAAUCCCUUCAAACCAACCACAACAACCGAUUCAAAAUUAGAUUUUGAAUUUCGAAUUCUUAACCGACUCCUCAAAAUAUCUCUCGCCACCCUUCCUAUUAUAAAUAGGAGAAUAAGAAUCAAUACGGGGGACGAUACAAAAAAAGGGAGAGAGAACAAAUAGAUAGAGAGAUGAUAACGAUACAGAGAGAUUACGAUAAAAAGAUGAGAGAUAAUAUUAUUUCCACCCUUAC
rnacentral:lncRNA from 1 species